UUGGCCUACGGGACGCAGCAGUAGGGAAUUUUCGUCAAUGGGCGCAAGCCUGAACGAGCAAUGCCGCGUGAACGAGGAAGGUCUUCGGAUCGUAAAGUUCUGUUGAAGGGGAAAAAGAGCGGAGAGAGGAAAUGAACUCCGAUUGAUAUUACCCUUCGAGGAAGUCACGGCUAACUACGUGCCAGCAGCCGCGGUAAUACGUAGGUGGCGAGCGUUAUCCGGAUUUACUGGGUGUAAAGGGAGCGUAGACGGCAUAGCAAGUCUGAUGUGAAAGAUCGGGGCUCAACCCCGGGCCUGCAUUGGAA
rnacentral:rRNA from 1 species